rnacentral:tmRNA from 1 species
GGGGGUGUAAAGGUUUCGACGGGGGUGUAGAAACAGGAUAAGCGAGCGGUAGUUUGUCCGGUCUACCUUAAAAGGGACACGUUAAAUAUAAACGCUAAAAAGAACAACAAUUUCGCAUUAGCAGCUUAGUUCUGCCCGCGCGUCGGCUCAGGUUUACCUGUAGGCCUGAUUACCGGCGUCGACUAUACAGGAAAACUCUGCGGGAGCUCCCGGUACCGCAGGGGACUUACGGGAUAGCCGCUUCGGAAGUCUGUUAAUGGACGUCCGAAAAAGCGAAACUCUAAAACAUUAACUGCGCUCGGAGAAAUUCCUGCGGAAACGCUUUCGGACGUGGGUUCGACUCCCACCAUCUCCACCA